rnacentral:rRNA from 1 species
GAUGAACGCUGGCGGCGUGCCUAAUACAUGCAAGUCGAGCGAACAGACGAGGAGCUUGCUCCUCUGACGUUAGCGGCGGACGGGUGAGUAACACGUGGAUAACCUACCUAUAAGACUGGGAUAACUUCGGGAAACCGGAGCUAAUACCGGAUAAUAUAUUGAACCGCAUGGUUCAAUAGUGAAAGACGGUUUUGCUGUCACUUAUAGAUGGAUCCGCGCCGCAUUAGCUAGUUGGUAAGGUAACGGCUUACCAAGGCAACGAUGCGUAGCCGACCUGAGAGGGUGAUCGGCCACACUGGAACUGAGCCACGGUCCAGACGCCUACGGGAGGCACAAGUAGGGAAUCUUCCGCAAUGGGCGAAAGCCUGACGGAGCAACGCCGCGUGAGUGAUGAAGGUCUUGGGAUCGUAAAACUCUGUUAUUAGGGAAGAACAAAUGUGUAAGUAACUAUGCACGUCUUGACGGUACCUAAUCAGAAAGCCACGGCUAACUACGUG